CUUUUUUAGCCAACAUGACUGAAAUUUUGAUCAACAAACAUCCAAGGGACACAACCAAUCUUUUGUGAACAAGGAAUAUCAAGAGAGGAGCUUGAAGGGCUGCAAAUCAGAGACUGCUGGGGAGUGGAGAUGGGCUGCAGAGGAAGAGGAAGACUGGGAGAGAGGCCACAACCCAUCUUCAUUUUCCAAGUGUGACUGAGCAAGACAUCUCACUUGGAUAAAUACAAGGAAGGCAAAAAACAACGAGGCUGGAAGAAUGAAUUUCUCCCUACCUCCCCAACCCUCCGAAAACUUAACUAAGAAGGUAAUUGCAGAAGUGAGAAAACAGUAAUUCACACUGCUUCUUCAUUCAAACACAUUUUUGUUGGCCUCUGAAGAUCAGUGCAAUAGAGUGAAGUCCUUCUAAACUUCUCAGAGACCCCGGGGACAACGUGGCUGUUCAUUUACACUGGAAAGGAGGGCUACAAGUGACCAUAACGGAAGGAGCAGACAAAUACUGAGUACUUGCCGAUGCAGAGAGAGAUGAGCUAAUUAACUUGCUGAAAGUUGAAUAGUUGGCAAGCUAUGAUACUUCUGGACUAAGUACCUGGACAGGCUGCACAUCAGCACUUUAGGCAUUCUGCCCCUGGAACAUGGUAAACACAGAGCACCUAUCAGAGAAAGCUUUGGGAGUGGAGAUGAUACCCAGUAUAAGUACUGUAGGACAAGACUAUGUCAGUAGAAGGGGCAGAAGUAGGGAACAAUACAAAUAUUCCAAGCUAUGAAAUAACAUAGCAAAGUUAGAAAAACACAAGUUGUUUUAUAUUAUUAGACUUUGGGACAGAAAGUAGAUGAGUUUGGAGUCGUGUACAAGAAUCAGAUCAUCAAUGUUUUUUUGUGCUGUGCAGUGAAGCAUGCAUUUUAUCCUUAAUAUAAGACAACACUGAAAGAUUUUUAAACAAAGGAAGCUUAAAAAUUUUUAGAUAGAUCUUUCUGAUAGCAGUGUGGAGGAUGUGAGGUUGCGGGAGGAAAGUUUGGAAUUAAGGCAAUCAGCUGGGGACAAUUGUAACAGGUUAGAGGAAGGAAGACAAGGAUGAGAAUUAGGGCCAGAGAGGUGGGAACAAAUUCAAAGAAUGUUUGGGGGUGGUGAAUCAGUAAACUCAGGAAUAAAAAGAAUGAGAAAAUGUGAAGAAUAAAUGUAUAGAAUAAUUGUCAAGUUUCUGAUGGUGUAAAUUGAAUAAUACCUGUAAGGAAGUAAGUGAGGUUGACCUGAGUUCAGUUUGGGUGUUGU